rnacentral:lncRNA from 1 species
UGGGGUUUUGGAGAUGAUAGAGUGUUGCAGGCCGUACCACUACCUCAUGAAAGUUGAGAGAUUAUUUCCAAAAGACCCUUGUCUCAAGAUAACUCUAUCUUACCUGAUCAUAAAAUUAUCACUGAGAAUUUUUCAACAUAUUAAAACUAAUUUUCAUAUUUGUAUGAAAGUAGUUAUUGAAAAUAUAAAUUGUACCUGUAUCUAAGGCAUAGGGUGCAUAAUAUACAGUACUUGACUCGUGGAAAUUAGGAUAAGAAUAUGAAUAAACUUAACAAGCUGACAAAAAGUAACAUACCAUAAUGUUCAAGAGGGGAAACAACAGGCGGCAAUGAAAUCGGUACGUACAAAAACUUUAUUUGCACUCAAGUUCUCAUGAGCUGAAUAAGUUAUAAAACCACUUGAUAUUGCUCCUGAUCAUAAGAAAAAGCUGCAGCAAUGGCUUAUCAUCAAGUCUUCAUCAAAUCAGUUUAUAAAUAUAUUCAGUUCAUGAAACAGGAAAAACAAAACCUCUGUACAUGUGAUUUUUGCUCCAUGCAAACACUUCUAAAUUAAAAUUAAAUUACUAAUGAAAAUGGAAAAAGGAAUAGACAAGGUUUGUCAAGAAAUUCAGCACAAAAGGUUAAUACAAAACUUUGCGCAAACAGCUUCUGUAUCUACGGAAGACAGUACAACAUAAAAAUUCAAAAUUAGAAACUACAUAUAUUUCAUUAUAGUUUCAACUCACUGUAAUAUCUAACUUGUAUUACACAUCUUCUCUACUAUAUAAUGAACAACAUUGUCUUAAAAGCACACCACUUGCACAUCCUUUUAUGAGUAAAUCCGUUAUACUUCUAAACCGUUAAACCAGAAAUUCAUUAGUUAUGUCCUGUUAGUUUACGCAGUCCUCGCCGAAAUAGGAUUCCCAUCAAGCAUAGCUUGAAUGAGUCCCAUAGCUCUUGACAUUAUUAGUGGAUAUUUUGAGGGCCAAGAUCUCCACCGGACUUCAUAAAACAAGUUAUCUUUUGCUUGGGUGUUUGCAAUUUUUUAAUUUCUUUCACUCGAAAUGCAUAGUGAAUUUGCUCUCUAUAGCAUUUUCUUUUGUUGCCUAAAUAAUCUUACUCUUUGUUUUUCAAUCAUAUAAUUUGUUAACCAUGCAACAUACUAAAUGUGUAUGUGUAGAACAAAGGUUCUUCUAUUUCAUAGUACAUAUUAGAUACACCAUUACAUCAAAAAUAAAGUUUUGUUUUGACCACACAAAUAUUUAUUUCUUAUCUAGUUCAUGGGUUUAGAAGCCUCCAAUUGAAAUAGAAUUAGUCAUCUUUCUCUUUAAAUUCAAAAGCAUCACUGCCUACCACUCUGGGUGCAAAAAAAAACUACUUAGUUUAGCUCUAGAAUGACAGAAAGGAUUAGCCAAAUUAUUCAAUAAUCACAAUCAUUCACCACCUUUAUUUUCAAUCAAAGAUACCACCAAAUAUCUUCUAAGUUUAAUAACACAAGCAUACAAAAAUAUUAAUAAAAGUAGAUAGAAAAUCAUGUAAAAUGAACCCUACUUAAAACAUAGAGAGUAAAUUUAUGAUCAGACAAACUCUGUGUUCCACAACUGCAAUUGAUGGUUAAGACUGCAGAAACAUACCUAGAUGAGCAGGAAAUAAGAAUGCUAGUUUCUUUGUGCAACUAUCGAUGACGACGAGCAGACAGGUUGAGAACAAUCAGAAAAUUAAUUUCUUUUCUUCUUCUUUUGUAGUUAACAAUAGAAUCCACCAACCAAAUAGUUCAAAACCAAAAUGGCUUAGUUUGAUGUAAAAUGGUCGCGAAAACUACAAUAGAUGAAAAAAAAAAAAAGAAUAGCAUACCCAUAUUCAACACACUGAAUCACAUCUCUAGGUUUUAGGGUAAUCUCCGGCCCUCAAUCUCCAUAGAUGUAAUUGAGGUGCUCGCUUACUGGGUCCUU